GCCGUUCUGGUUGGGCCGGUACACGCUGCCCACGCUGAGGCGGCCCUGCUGCGCGCCGUUCCGCUCCCCACCCGGCGGGGGCGUGUCGGAGCUGCGCACCGGCAGGUCAGCCUCAUUUGUUCUUUUCCCAGAAGACUGGUUUUGUCUAAGAGAGAAAGUAUGACCACUGACAGCUUCUGAGUGUUGUAACUUGGAGGUUAUGUCAUGAGAAAGAAGUGUCCCUGUGUCGGAAAACACCAGAAGAGGGGCCUCCCUGGCUGUGAUGAGUCCUGCAGAGGAACAGGGCUGUGCCACCCUAGAAGAAAGAAGACUCCUGGCUUCCCUGGGCCUGCUGCACUGGCUCUGGCUAGGUUGGAGAGGGCUGCAGGCAGGACCGCAGUCAGCAGAGGGCGCCAAAGGCUCUCAACACACCCAUGGCUCAGGCCUGGCCCAGAAGGAGAGCGCUGAGAGCCAGGACCGGCGGGCUACGUGCGCCCUGUGGAUUCCCCCAUUUCCCAUGCUUCAUCUAGCCAUGGGCCUGCAGUGCACUCACAAAUGUGCACAUACCCUCGUGUGUGUGUGUGUGUGUGUGUGUGUGUGUGUGUGUGUGUGUGUGUGUUACACUCAUCAAAUUGUCUCUGAAUUUGCUUGGCUUCUUGUGUUCCUUUGUGUGUAUGUGUGUGUGUGGUGUGUCUGGUGUAUCUGGUUCCCCUAGGAAGCAUAUUUGACAGCCCCACAGUCAGGGUCAGGGCACAGGGACAGAUACUGUGUCUAUAACAAUCUAUAACACUGAUUUUGUUCGUCUCAAUAAAUGUGAGAAUGAAAUAAAAAUUCAUGUAGAAUAUUUUGUACAUCUCAAUAAAGCCACUU